rnacentral:lncRNA from 1 species
CCUAGCCGGUGGUUCAGGUGGCCGGUCGGGCUGGAAGGGCGGGGAUGAGGGAUGGGACGCAUCCCCGGGGGAUGCUCCUCCAAAGCUUUUAUCGGGCGAGCGCAGUGGCUCACGCCUGUAAUUCCUGCACUUUGGGAGGCUAAGGGUCUCACUCUAUUGUCUAGGCUCGAAUGCAGUGACGUGAUCAUGGAUCACUGCAGUCCUCAACUUACUGGGCUCAGGUAAUCCUCCCACCUCAACCUCCCAGGUAGCAGAGAUUACAGGUGCAUGCCACCACCAUCCUUGGCUGAAUUAAAAAAAAUUUUUUUGUAAAGACCAUAUUUCACCAUAUGCCCAGGCUGGUCCUGAAGUCCUAAUCUCAAGGAAUCCCCUGGCCUCAGCCUCCCGAAGUGCUGGGAUUACAGAGAUGGGGUUUCACCAUAUUGGCUAUGCUGGUCUCGAACUCCUGACCUUGUGAUCCACCUGCCUUGGCCUCCCAAAGUGCUGGGAUUACAGGAUGAAAGGCUUCCUAGCACAAACACCACCCCUGGAGUUCCCGGUACAUCAAUACCAGCCUGGGGAUCACGUUCUCAUCAAGAGUUGGAAGAGGGAAAGCUUGAACCAGCUUAGGAGGACCUCAUCUGGUACUCUUGAUGAAUGAAACAGCAAUCUGAAUGGCUGAAAAAGGAUGGACCCAGCACUCCAGGGAGAAAACUUGGCAUUCUUUGGGAAUCUAACAGGAUGCAGUGAACCCAAGCCUUUUGAAGAGCUCACCAAUCAGACUGCCCUUGUCUAUCCAUGAGCAGAUGUUUGAUAGUAUUGCGGAGGCCCUCUAGUGGGUAUGCUGCCAAGCAACUGGAGUGGCACUUGGGCUCUAAUCCAGUUGUCUAUCCCUUUCACCCUGGCAUUUCAUCAGCCAAACAAAAACCAACUAACUCAGAAAAAAAGGAAAGCCCCUCAAGGGUCCUUUGACCCCGAUAUCUACAUAGAUGCUAUCGGGGUCCCCUGAGGGGUACCAAACGAAUUCAAAGCUCGAAAUCAAAUAGCUGCUGGAUUCAAGUCUGUCCUUUUCUUGUGGUCUACUAUAAAUAAAAAUGUAGACUGGAUAAAUUACAUAUACUAUAACCAACAACGAUUUGUCAGUUACACCAGGGAUGCCAUUAAAGGAAUAGCUGAACAAUUGGGUUUCACCAGCCAAAUGGCCUGGGAAAAUAGAAUAGCUCUUGACAUGAUAUUAGUGGAAGUCCAAUGUUGUACCUGUAUCCCCAAUAAUACAGCCCCUGAUGUAACUAUCACUAAGGGUCUAUAAGGCCUCACCACUCUAGGAAAUGAACUAGCUGAAAAUUCGGGAAUGAAUGAUCCCUUUACAGGUGUAAUGGAAAAAAUGGUUUGGUAGAUGGAAAGGACUAAUGGCCUCUAUUCUCACCUCCCUUGUGAUCAUAAUAGGGGUGCUCAUUCUCUUAGGGUGCUGUAUUAUACCCUGUGUCUGCGGACUAGUUCAAAAGCUCAUAGAAACAGCCCUUACCAAGACCUCCCACAACUCUCCCCCACCCUAUUCAGAUAAACGUUUAUUUCUAAGCAACCAAGAAGAGCAGUGAAGCCAGAUCCUGUUAGAAAUAUAUGAAGAGGAAGGACUACAAAAUCAAAAGGGGAAAAUUAUUAGACAAAAUGAGUUGCUCUACAAAGGUCCAACUUCGUUGUCCUUUGUUCUGUAACCUUUGUUCUGUAAACUGCCCUUCCCGCAGAAACUGUCUUUCCCGCCGACCAAAACUGCCCUUCACUAUCACUGUAAUCCAUACCCCUACUCUAUUUGAAACUGCCAAUCGGGAUCAGCUUACAUUGUGUGGUUCAACCACCAGCCAAUGAGGAAAAAACACAGAAGCAAAAGCUAUGAUGCAUUAGGGUUAAAAACCCCUUCCUUUCCCUGUCCAAUGUGCUCUUGAGACUGCUACAGGCGCAAGCAGCCACCUUCUGCAGAAGUAAACCUUGCCUUGCUGAGAAAUUUUUCUUUUGAGUGCUGGUCUCUCUCUGUGGCACCAAGAACUUAUUUCUAACAUGGAGUGAUUUCCAAGAUAGAUGGUUAAGUGAAAAUAAAAACUGUUGCCAGG